rnacentral:rRNA from 1 species
AACGGCUGGCGGCGUGCCUAACACAUGCAAGUCAACGGGGAUUUGUUUCGGCAGAAUCCUAGUGGCGAACGGGUGAGUAACGCGUAGGCAACCUGCCCUCCGCCGGGGACAACACUCCGAAAGGGGUGCUAAUACCGGAUACGAAGUCUGUGCCGCAUGGUACGGAUUUGAAAGAUGGCCUCUAUUUAUAAGCUAUCGCCGGGGGAUGGGCCUGCGUCCGAUUAGCUGGUUGGUGGGGUAACGGCCUACCAAGGCGACGAUCGGUAGCCGGUCUGAGAGGAUGAACGGCCACAUUGGGACUGAGACACGGCCCAGACUCCUACGGGAGGCAGCAGUGGGGAAUCUUCCGCAAUGGGCGCAAGCCUGACGGAGCAACGCCGCGUGAGUGAGGAAGUUCUUCGGAACGUAAAGCUCUGUUGUUCCUGACGAACCUCCCUUCUAUGAACAACGGAAGGGACUGACGGUAGGGAACGAGGAAGCCACGGCUAACUACGUGCCAGCAGCAGC